rnacentral:pre_miRNA from 14 species
UUUUUGCUCUCAUCUUAAUGAAAGACCCCCCAGAGAGGGGAGACCCUCACUCAAGUCUCGGGAUGACACGACCCCCCAAGAACUCACGUGAGACC